UACGUAGGGCGCAAGCGUUGUCCGGAAUUAUUGGGCGUAAAGAGCUCGUAGGCGGUUUGUCGCGUCUGCUGUGAAAACUCGAGGCUCAACCUCGGGCUUGCAGUGGGUACGGGCAGACUAGAGUGCGGUAGGGGAGACUGGAAUUCCUGGUGUAGCGGUGAAAUGCGCAGAUAUCAGGAGGAACACCGGUGGCGAAGGCGGGUCUCUGGGCCGAUACUGACGCUGAGGAGCGAAAGCGUGGGGAGCAAACAGG
rnacentral:rRNA from 1 species